rnacentral:rRNA from 1 species
UACAGAGGUCUCAAGCGUUGUUCGGAAUCACUGGGCGUAAAGGGUGCGUAGGUGGCGUGGUAAGUCAGAUGUGAAAGCCCGGGGCUCAACCUCGGAAUUGCAUCCGAUACUACCAUGCUAGAGUACUGAAGAGGUGACUAGAAUUCUCGGUGUAGCAGUGAAAUGCGUAGAUAUCGAGAGGAAUACCAAAGGCGAAGGCAGGUCACUGGGCAGUUACUGACACUGAGGCACGAAGGCUAGGGGAGCAAACGGG